UCCCUGGUAGUAUAUCGGUUAGUACACGCGCCUGUCACGCGUGAAAGCUGGGUUCGACUCCCAGCCAGGGAG
rnacentral:tRNA from 1 species